rnacentral:lncRNA from 1 species
UGAUUAAUGGUGGAGCCCAGGCCAAAAGACAAGCAUCGGAAUGCAAAGGACCACCCACGAAGUGGCGUCUUUACUGCAUCCUGAACUGGAGACCUCUGGCUCACUACUGCUGCUGCAGUUCUGCUGAGACCAUAGAAGAAUCUCAGCACUGACCUGUCAGUGUUCCCUCUGGCCUCCAAAGUCCAGGAGAUCAGUCACACUGUCUUUGAGCUUGAGUUGAGGCCAAUGCUCAUUUUAUUCCUACUCCAUGGAGACUGUUGUCAGUGAAAGGCUAAUAGGGGACACACACAGUGCAGCUCUGGACCCUGGGACUUGGAAAGACUUCCUGAGCAAACUUGCUAUGUGAACCCACCUGACUCACUUCCUGCUCAGCUCCUCUAAGAAGGGCAAUCCAUCUGGUAGUCUGCUUGGCAGAGUUAUGGUGAUCUUCAUCUUUCAGAGUUCCUCUUUCUACAGCUCACCAGUGAGAGAAUGAUGGAGUGGAAGCCAUAGGAACUACAGGUACCCUACUGGGAAGAGGGAUGAGUUCUGCUGGGGAGCCUCCUCUUGCUACAGAUGGCCCUACUGUGAGACUAUUCUAGCACUGAGGCAAACUAAGCAGCCUACCUCUUCCUGUGAACUCGGAAGGAAAAUCAAUGAUAAGACCUCUGAGAUAUUGUAUUGGCAGGCCUACCCCAUCAUCCUGGCUUCCCCACUAGAAGUUCAAACGGCCCACUACUUGUGUCAGAGACUGAGAGGAGAGAGAGAGGCUGGGCUGCCCCAGGACCUGGAAGCAGCUCUCAUGGAGCCAGUCUGCAGCAGCCAACAAGCCAGCCAGAGGGCCAGUGAGCAGAGACUCAGCUCAAGAAGGAAACACCAUAUAAGAAGCCCUCAUUUUGUAUCUGACAAUCACCAAAGACUUUUCUAUUAGAUGGAGUGUGUGCUUAUGCCAUUUAUGUUUUGCUGCAUUAUUUUUCUGCUUGUAGAAGUUCUAGGACAGUCUCCUUAUCUGAAUUUAAAAUAAACCUUAUUUUGCCUUUCCUUGUCCAUUUCUGUUAUCUAUUUUUGGGCUGUUUUCUGAAAUGAGACUUACGG